rnacentral:rRNA from 1 species
UUGGUUAAGUUAGAAAGGGCGCACGGUGGAUGCCUUGGCACUAGGAGCCGAAGAAGGACGGGACUAACACCGAUAUGCUUUGGGGAGCUGUACGUAAGCGUUGAUCCAGAGAUUUCCGAAUGGGGGAACCCACUAUCUUUAGUCGGAUAGUAUCCUUACGUGAAUACAUAGCGUGAGGAAGGCAGACCCAGGGAACUGAAACAUCUAAGUACCUGGAGGAAGAGAAAGAAAAAUCGAUUUCCUGAGUAGCGGCGAGCGAAACGGAAAGAGCCCAAACCAAGAAGCUUGCUUCUUGGGGUUGUAGGACACUCUAUACGGAGUUACAAAAGAAAGUUAUAAAUGAAGCGGUCUGGAAAGGCCCGCCAAAGACGGUAACAGCCCGGUAGUUGAAAUGGCUUUCCCUCCAGAGUGGAUCCUGAGUACGGCGGAACACGUGAAAUUCCGUCGGAAUCCGGGAGGACCAUCUCCCAAGGCUAAAUACUCCCUAGUGACCGAUAGUGAACCAGUACCGUGAGGGAAAGGUGAAAAGCACCCCGGAAGGGGAGUGAAACAGUUCCUGAAACCGUGUGCCUACAAGUAGUUAGAGCCCGUUAAUGGGUGAUAGCGUGCCUUUUGUAGAAUGAACCGGCGAGUUACGAUUUGUUGCAAGGUUAAGCGGAAAAAGCGGAGCCGUAGCGAAAGCGAGUCUGAAUAGGGCGCAUAAGUAACAGGUCGUAGACCCGAAACCAGGUGAUCUACCCAUGUCCAGGAUGAAGGUAAGGUAAUACUUACUGGAGGUCCGAACCCACGCACGUUGAAAAGUGCGGGGAUGAGGUGUGGGUAGCGGAGAAAUUCCAAUCGAACUUGGAGAUAGCUGGUUCUCUCCGAAAUAGCUUUAGGGCUAGCCUCGAGGUAAAGAGUCAUGGAGGUAGAGCACUGUUUGGACUAGGGGCCCUUCUCGGGUUACCGAAUUCAGAUAAACUCCGAAUGCCAUGUACUUAUACUCGGGAGUCAGACUGCGAGUGAUAAGAUCCGUAGUCGAAAGGGAAACAGCCCAGACCACCAGUUAAGGUCCCCAAAUAUAUGUUAAGUGGAAAAGGAUGUGGGGUUGCUUAGACAACCAGGAUGUUGGCUUAGAAGCAGCCACCAUUGAAAGAGUGCGUAAUAGCUCACUGGUCGAGUGACCCCGCGCCGAAAAUGUACCGGGGCUAAACAUAUUACCGAAACUGUGGAUGAACCUCUUUAGAGGUUCGUGGUAGGAGAGCGUUCUAAGGGCGGUGAAGUCAGACCGGAAGGACUGGUGGAGCGCUUAGAAGUGAGAAUG